CCCGGGCUACCCCCUGCCUUGGCCCCCAGCCCGGCCCUCUCUCCCUCCCCGGGUCAGACUGAGUCCCCAACGGCCCAUGAACCCGGUGGGGGCCGGAGCCUCGGCCCAGACACCUUUGAUGGUUGCCCUUUGCCCCCUCCGCUCGGAGCAGACAAAUGAGGGAAAUUGACUCUUCCUGCAUCUUGGGGGAAGUUUGUCUCUCCCAGGAAGAUUGGAAGGCCCGAGGGAGAGGCCAUGUGCAUUUUCUUCAUCUCCAUAUACCCAGCGCAAGAACAUGCACAGGGAAAAGUGUUCUUUCUCAACAAUGAUGCCUUUUUAAAGGCCAAGACAAUCCUCUGUGUGGUGGCGCCGUCUGGAACUCCCCAGAAAAUGCCCGUGACAAUGGCAGCAGGCAGCCAGGCCAGAUUGGGAUCUGGCCAGCUUUGGAGGGAGCAUUGCUCAGUCUGGGAGUCUCUGCCCCAAUCCAGGGGAAAUUCCGGCACACAGAGAAACUCACAUGUCGGAAGAACACCAGGUGAAGAUAAAGGCAGAGAUCGAAAGUUGCUUCUACAAGCAGGAAUGCCAAGGAUUGCCAGCAGACCAGCAAGCAGGGAGAGAGGCCAAACUAGACUCUCCCUCACAGCCCUCAGAAGGAACCAAGCCUACUGACACCUGGAUUCUGGACUUCUAACCUCCAGAACCGAGACAAUACAUUUCUGACGUAAUGGCAGCCCUAAGCAAAUUAACACAGCAGUGAAAUACACAUACCGUAAAAUGUACUGUUUUAAUCAUUUUUAAGGUGUAUAGUUCGUUGACGUUAAGUGCAUUCACAUUGUGCAGCUAUGCUUUGUCUUUAGCUGGGGCAAACCCGGGAAGACGAUGGGAAGGCUGGAAGACCUAGCUCCAUAUCUGCUCUGCUCAGCUGAGUGGCCUGUGUCAUCAUGUGUGCAGUGAAGAGACGGGCACACAACUUCCUGCCCUGAUGCUAUCGCUGCCCAUGUGUGGAGAAAUUAUAAUAACGUAAUAGCUCACAGUUUACUGAGCAAUUAUUAUGUUCCAGGUCCAUGCAAAUAGCUUUACAGGGAUUAUCUCUUUUAAUAAGUAACUUUAUCAAGGAGGUAUCAUUAGUCCCAUUUGACAGAUGGGGAAAUGGAGCCUCAACGAGAUGAAUGAGAUGGCUCAGUCUUGGCAGCCUUGGAAGAUGCAGGGGUGGAGGUCUUAACCACUGUGUAACACUCGCCUUCAAUAACCUUUGGGCACACUGGCCUGAGAGAAAGUAAAAAACAUAAGAUAUUGAUCAGAUUGAAAGAUGUUUUUGCCAAAUCAGCCAACUGCCCUAGAGACCCCAUUGCACACAGAAUCAUACCACCAUGUCCCCAUGUCCUGGGGUGGGACUCUGAAGAGUUCAAAAAUUCUAAAUUCAAACUUGGCUUUCCGGGUCAUUUCUGAAGGUACAUUUAUGGAAGUAGGAAAAUAAAACAUCUUAUU